GAUGGGCCCGCGGCGCAUUAGCUAGUUGGUGAGGUAACGGCUCACCAAGGCCACGAUGCGUAGCCGACCUGAGAGGGUGAUCGGCCACACUGGGACUGAGACACGGCCCAGACUCCUACGGGAGGCAGCAGUAGGGAAUCUUCCGCAAUGGACGAAAGUCUGACGGAGCAACGCCGCGUGAGUGAUGAAGGUUUUCGGAUCGUAAAACUCUGUUGUUAGGGAAGAACAAGUAUCGGAGUAACUGCCGGUACCUUGACGGUACCUAACCAGAAAGCCACGGCUAACUACGUGCCAGCAGCCGCGGUAAUACGUAGGUGGCAAGCGUUGUCCGGAAUUAUUGGGCGUAAAGCGCGCGCAGGUGGUUCCUUAAGUCUGAUGUGAAAGCCCACGGCUCAACCGUGGAGGGUCAUUGGAAACUGGGGAACUUGAGUGCAGAAGAGGAAAGUGGAAUUCCAAGUGUAGCGGUGAAAUGCGUAGAGAUUUGGAGGAACACCAGUGGCGAAGGCGACUUUCUGGUCUGUAACUGACACUGAGGCGCGAAAGCGUGGGGAGCGAACAGGAUUAGAUACCCUGGUAGUCCACGCCGUAAACGAUGAGUGCUAAGUGUUAGAGGGUUUCCGCCCUUUAGUGCUGCAGCAAACGCAUUAAGCACUCCGCCUGGGGAGUACGACCGCAAGGUUGAAACUCAAAGGAAUUGACGGGGGCCCGCACAAGCGGUGGAGCAUGUGGUUUAAUUCGAAGCAACGCGAAGAACCUUACCAGGUCUUGACAUCCUCUGACACUCCUAGAGAUAGGACGUUCCCCUUCGGGGGACAGAGUGACAGGUGGUGCAUGGUUGUCGUCAGCUCGUGUCGUGAGAUGUUGGGUUAAGUCCCGCAACGAGCGCAACCCUUGAUCUUAGUUGCCAGCAUUCAGUUGGGCACUCUAAGGUGACUGCCGGUGACAAACCGGAGGAAGGUGGGGAUGACGUCAAAUCAUCAUGCCCCUUAUGACCUGGGCUACACACGUGCUACAAUGGAUGGUACAAAGGGCUGCAAGACCGCGAGGUUUAGCCAAUCCCAUUAAAACCAUUCUCAGUUCGGAUUGCAGGCUGCAACUCGCCUGCAUGAAGCCGGAAUCGCU
rnacentral:rRNA from 1 species